AGUUCAGCCAAUGCCUCAACCACAUCCCAAAGCUGCGCUACUCCCUGGGGUACGACCACCAGAAGAGAGAACUGUGUGUUUCUUUCCUAGAAGGUCCGGGCUGUCCUCUUCUGGUGGGUCAGCAGCAGAUACAUCAUGUUCAGUAGCCCUGUUUGUGUUGUUCUUCAGCUGUUGGUUGCCCACUUACCAAGGAGGAGGAGCCUGGGAGUCACAGCUACAUUGGGGGCACUCUCACCAGCAAUGGUGGGCAA